rnacentral:snoRNA from 15 species
AAAAAAUGAUGAUUAAUUUUCUCUAUAUUCGCAGUAACCCCCCUACUAACUACCUAUUAGGUAUGCUGUAGGUUAUAGCCGCGUCUGAU